AUGUACCUCAGCCAGCCUCCUGUAACCACACAAGCUGUGCUGCUGAAGUUACCAGCAAGUGCCCUAAACUACUUGACACUGCAUUCCAGAAUCCCACAGUUCAGCCAAGGUCCUCCCAUGACUCCCUCCCGGCUUCAAUUUCUAUUUGCCAGCCUACUGUUGCAGUGUUUCAUGAUGUCACCCAAACUAUCAAACUGCCACUCUGCUGGAGCAUUGCUGAGACCGCAGGAUCCCACCAUCAAUCUUCCUCCCACUCCAUCCUUCUUCCUUAGCAACUUUUGUUGA
rnacentral:lncRNA from 1 species